UAACCAAAUACGAUGUCGACCUUAAGAUUGAAAGAUUGCUGAGAUCUAAAAACAUUUACUGCGGGUAAUUAAAGGAACAUAUUUCCAUGCAUCAAAGGCUCUUCUGAAAAUAUGGUUGCAAGAACAACCGAUGCCAUUUUGAAAAAAAUCAUUUUUUAUGGUGGUCUCAAGACCCGGUGCCCUUCAGAGCUGUGCCGAAAUGUGUUUAUCCAAUGUUAUUACCCUGCACCAUAGAUGUUGCAGAUUCUAAACCAACAGAUUCUAAACCAAAUCACUCGUUAUCAGCUCAGAGUUGGAAAGGUUUUAUAGUGAUUUUUAUUUUAACGUUCCUCUGCAGUUUAGGUUAUGAUUGUUUACUGAUCCUACGCUGUUUAUUAAGGUUUAUUUGGCGUCUUCGUUUGUUAGUAGUGUGAUUAUGCCUACAAGAUUACAAGUAUUACUUGUAUCUCCGUCGAAACGAACCUCAUUAUUUGAUAAUUCUGUAUUUACGUUUACGUUUAAAUGAAAGGCUUUGAGUUUACUAUAAUUAAUUUUUAUGAAUCAACUUUGUUUAAACUCAUUAGUUUUAUAUUUUACGCUUACAUAUUAUUACUAAAUCAAAUUACAAAUAUAAUUCUGUACAAAACAAUGUAAGUCAGGUUGACAUAAGAAAGUCCACGGUCGACACUUCCGGAUAGUCAUUCAAUUGGCCUACAUAUUUAUUGUUUUUUAGCGCAAUUUCCAUUCUGGAGAAUUGCGUUUAUUAACCCGUCAUUUCUGGAUGGAUGGAUGGAUGGAUGGAUGAAUGUAUGGAUGUGUUUCCGCAGCUUUAAGUCGUAUCUCCUCCUCAACGAAGCAAUAUCGAUGACUAGUUACAAAAACAAUUAUGUUAAGCAAGUUACGAGGAUGAGCAUAGGCCAUAAAAAUUACGGGUUUCUUUCAUGGAUUUCCCGGAAAAGCCAAAAAAACCUCGGAAAAAUGCAGUUUUUGGCCCAUAUCUCAGCAACCAGACCACUUAGCGACUUGAAACAUGUACCAAUCGAUUGCUGCCAUAAUUUAGAACAAUAUUGCCGAAGAAAGUUUUCAAAAAUAUCCUUUCGUUUGGUAACAAAAAAAAAUUUGAAUUAAUUAACAUUUGGACCAAUUAGUAGGCAUUUUAUGCAACCACACCACACGCGUCAUCACGUUCAAUAGCUGCGCCAUCACGUUCAAUGGCUGCGACGUCACGUUCGGUAGCUGGGCGCGCAAUGGUUUUUAGUCAUGUUACUCUAUUGUAAAUAAAACAUGUAAAAUACUGAAAAUUUUUUUUAAUAAAAAACGUUUUAAUAACUAACCAAUGGUUUUACUAACCCUGCUCUUGAUUUACGCUACGACAGAGCUAUUUUUAGAUAACACAAGGAAAUUGCGCUAAAAUUGUCACUAGACUUUUUUUAAUUACUUGUUUUAAAUAGUAGACUUAUUAAUAUUUAUAAAUUAAAGUAGGAAAAUACAACAAUUUGUAUACAGGAAUAUAAUACAGACAUUAGCUGUAUGGCAUUGCUUCUCUGCGGUGUAAAAUACAUUCAAAAAGUACUCUGAAGAAAACAAAAGAACAAAGCACAAUGUAGGUCUAAAAGACAAAGCAAAAAUUACUUACAUAACAACCAAAGACAUAAACGAAGCGCAAUCUGUUUUGUAAUCCUUGUAAAAAAAAUAUUACAUAACUGAGUAUUAAUUAAGGCAAGAGAACUACAGUAGGGGAAAUAAUCACUCGCUCGAUAUAGAUAUGUAUAGGCUCUAGUAUAGGCUCCACAUUUAAUUGUAAUUGUAAAAUUCGUCCAAAUCAAGAAUUACUUUACUAAGUAAUAUAAUAGUUUAUUAUUACUAGUUUUUACAAAAACAUGUCUGCAAUUAGAAUUAAAUAUGUUUUUAUCAUCUAUAUACUACUAAAACUUAAGUUUGUUUUCAUGUUUGAAUAUUUUUUUUUAAUUUUUUUUUUUAAAUUUUUGUCCGUUUGGUUAUAGAAGAGAAUCUUCACUAUGUGUACAGCUGUAAAAUAGUAUUUAGGUAGAGAACAAUUUUUUUUUUAAAUACUGUUAAUCACAAAUUAAUUUAAAGACGUUGAUUAAUUUAUUGAUUUAUUCAUUGGUAGAUUAACCACAUUAAGUAUAAAAGUUCGAAACAAUGACUUUAUAGUGACGUCUUUUGAUUUUUUUACUUUUUACAACAAUAAUGGCGGCUUCCAUACAAGAUUUUGUUGCCCAUUCAAAGGUAUAACGCUUUUUUAGCUAAUUUUCUGGCUAUAGCUUUGACGAUACGUCCGUUUGCUGUUUUUAUUACGUUCCAACACUAUCAAUUAUCAACAGUCCUUUUCAUUUAAGUAUACAAUACGUUUCUCUAGAUCUAGAAUCUAAAGAUCAGCUG